rnacentral:rRNA from 1 species
GAAGGUCACGGCGAGACGAGCCGUUUAUCAUUACGAUAGGUGUCAAGUGGAAGUGCAGUGAUGUAUGCAGCUGAGGCAUCCUAACAGACCGGUAGACUUGAACCUUGUUCCUACAUGACCCGAUCAAUUCGAUCAGGCACUCGCCAUCUAUUUUCAUUGUUCAACUCUUUGACAACAUGAAAAAACCAAAAGCUCUGCCCUCCCCCUCUAUCUAUCCAAGGGAUGGAAGGGCAG